CGGGAAGUAGCGCAGCCUGGUAGCGCACUAUUCUGGGGGGAUAGGGGUCGGCGGUUCAAAUCCGCUCUUCCCGACCA
rnacentral:tRNA from 1 species